UAAUUUUUUAAAAGAAUUAAAAAUGUUAUAAAAAAGGAGAAAAAAGAUAAAAAAAUCAUUGUUUUUUUUUUUGCUGAAUUAAGUAAAUAAAAUCAAUUAUUCUAAAGAAAUAAAAAAACACAAAAUGUAUAAGAUAAAAAUUUUUGCAAGCAAGUUUCUAUAGUUAAAAUUAAUAAGAAUUCACAAUAAAAAAAUUACAUGGCAUUUAUCUAAAAAUAAAUGUAAAAAGUGAAAAAAGUGAUAAAUAAAUGAUUUUGAAAAAACCUAAAAUUACAUUCAUGAAUUUGUAAAAUAAAAAAAAAGAAAUCAAAUAGAACUAAUAAACAUGAUCUUAAAAUUUGAAAUUGCCAAACUAUAUAUGAAAGAAAUAUCAUUAACAUUUAAAAAUUUUUAUUCAAAUACGCGCAACCAACAAUCAACAGUUAUUAAAAAAAUUUGUUUACAUGUUGAAAUAAAAUUUUUUAACCACCAAAAACAGUUAAUAUCAAAUUAUCUUGAUAACCUCAAACACAUAUAAAAACUUACGAUAUCAUUUUCAACUUGUAUGUUUGUUUGAUUGAUUGAUUGUAUAUUAAAUAUGAGUAAACUUAAAAAAAUAUACAUUUUCAUUGUUCAAUGGGAAAAUAAAAAUUAUUUUCUUUGAAAAAUGUGGAAAAAAUUGAAACAAAAGAGAAAAUAUUAUGUAAAUGAAAGAAGUGAUGAGUAAGGAAAUACCGAAGUUGAGUGAGCGUAUGAAAGACAAAAGGAAAUAAUAUUGUUUAUUAUCGAUUUUUCACAAUACGAAUUUUACCUUUUAAUGUUUUUUUAUAUAUUUUAUUGUUUUAUAAAUUUUUUCAAUUAAAAAAUAAAAGAAAGGAUAUCAUUUAAUUUUUUUUUACAUAUGUAUAUGUUUUAUUAGGAAAGUUAAAAAUAUUCACCCUAAAAAUUUGUGAAUACCUACGGAAAAUUCGAAAAUAAAAGAAAUUGUGCCAAGCGAUUGUGUUUACAAAGUUCGGGAGAGAUGUGCGGUAUUUACGAUGAACAUUAAAAUUGAAAAAUCACUUUUAAAAAUCAGUAAACUUAGAUUUCAUAUUAAAAAAGACAUAAAUAAUUAAAAAAGAAAAUCUAAUGUUAGUAUCUAAUAAGAAUGAUUCGAAGGAAAAUGAAAAGUGAAAAAAAUUUUAAAUGAAAAAAGCGCCUAGCCAAACUUUACAAGGACAAAAAAUAAAUGUACAUACAUGCAUACAUACAAUUGAAUAUAUUUCAUAUAUAAUUACCUAUAUGUAAUUAAGGUAAUAUUGAAAUAAAAAACACAAAUUGUAGUUAAAAAACAUUGUGUUUUUUUCUUUAUUUUAUUUUAUUGUUGAAUAAAAGGAACGAAAAUUUAUUUCUUUUUCAAUUCUUUCACAUAUUUAAAAAUAAAGAUAAAAAAUAUAACGCGAAUUUUUCUUUCGAUUUUUGAUGGAGUAACAAAAGUGUUUUGAAAAAUUAAAAAAAAUGGCUAGACGUAAAGGUGCUUCCAAAACAAGAUGACUGAAAAAGAAAAUUGGAUGAAGCGUUAACAUAAUGGUUGAAUUGGACGGUUAAGCAUUAAGAGAGCUAAAAAUAGCAAAAAAAUUACAUUAUUAAGACUUUCUGGGGCUAUAACUAUUGGAGGAGAGGAAAUAGCUUUUUCUAUCUUUAAAGGUGUAGAAAUUUUGUAAACAGGCACUCGGACAAUAGAACGGAGAAACAGAAUGAAACUAAUACGUUCUUUUUUAAAUAUUUUUGAAAAACUGUUAAAAGACUGAAGUAUCCAAUGUCGCAUCUGUACAAAAAUGAGAUAAAAAGGAAUCAACAAAGCUUGUUUUCUUUUUCCCGACCGCAUUAAAGUUACAUAACCUAUGUAAUGAUACCCAACGUCGGUCUAUCGGUCUGUGUAUGUAUGCGGCUAUCUCAAGCUUGGCUGAACCGAUUUUGACGAAAUUUUAUAUGUUGGUUUAUUUUGGUUAUGUCACGGAUUGAUCAACUUGGAAUAUGUCAGGCCCCAGGAGAUGAUUUUUUUAUAGACUAGCUUUACAUUUUUCAUUAUUUUUGAGAAAGUAUUCAACUUUAAAAUUUUACAUAUAAGUUUUGUUUGACAUAACAAGAAACAACUUAACUUUUAGAAGAUAUCAGGUGUCAGCAAUUGAAUUACGUUGAACUGAACAACCUUUCUUGAAAUUUAAAACUUAAUUCAGGGUGUUAAAAUAAUGAACAUGUAACUUUUUUUUGGAAUAUCAGAGCUCGGCAACCAUACUAGGGACCGAUUUUAAUUUUUUUAUGUCUAAGGAACCAAUCGAUGGAAUUUGUUCAAAUUUAACAUUCGAGUUUUGUUGUUACCAAAUCUAAGUAGCAAAAUUUUCAGAGAAUUUGGAUGGCACAAAAGAAAACCUUUCUAACAGCCAAAUUUACAAUUUUCCGGCUAUGUUAUUCAACACUUACUAACGUCUUUAAUAUUGGAAGGAAGUAUUUAAAAUGCAUUUUUAUAAUAUUGUACAACACUUUCACUAAACUAAUAGAGAUUGCUGUCGGCUACUUUGUAACUAUAUCAUAGAUUUUUUUGUUUUUCAUUUAAUUUUAUCGAUUGAGUUAGGCUUGCGUUUAACUGGUGUUCGUAUCUAAACACAUACAUAUGUAAAAUGUAUUGAUUUGUCUAGAAGUACUAACAAAAACAACAUGUUAUGACCGAUUUUACCGAUCCGUGCACUAGAUUGCCAAAUAAUCACGAAAAAAUCAAAAUUAAUUAUAAUUUAAAGAGCUAUAAAUAUGGCGACACAAAUCUUCAAAUAACGACAUACAUACAUACGUAUACGCGCAUUUAUAAAUACUGUUACAAAAGGAGAUUGAUAUUUAUAAAACUUAACUUAUUCAUUUUGAUAAGUGUCACAUGUGAAUAUAAAGAAACGAAAAAAGAAAUAAUUUCAAUUUUUACUUUCUAUAUUACACUUUUUCACGAUUAAAAUUUCAAUUCAAAUUAAAUUGAAUUGUUUUCUUUUCAUACCCUUUACCAUAUUUUUUCCAUCAGCUGACCCCAAGUGCAUUGGACUUUGUACAAAGUUAUUGUUUACAGUUUUGAAAAUAUUGUUUGGCUUUUUUUAUUUUUUUUAUUUGCAUUUUUUUUUGUACGCCUAUCUAUAAAGAAAAUCUUUUAAUUAUUCCAAAGUUUUGAUUAUUUCAAAUAAAAAUAGUUUAAUAAU